CUGUAAUGCUGAUGAGGGGAUGUCUCUGCCUUCAUCACCGAGCCACCAAAGCGUGCCGUUGCUCGUGUAACUGCUUUGCCUGGACAAGGAAGGCUGGAGGUGAACGCUGACAGGGGUUCCUUGCAUGUAGUCCAUCUUUGUGCCUGCUGUGGGAGUCACAUAGCCCCCCCGAUUAAUACUGGGCUGUCUGGAUAACAAAACACUAUUUGGUGAGUUUAAGUUUUUAGGAAGGGCAGAUAUUGAAUGCCUUUGUGAAGAAUUUUUGUGAUAACCUCUCUGCCUUUCCAAAGAGGUCAUCGGUACUGCAGGUGUGGUGGGAACGUCCACCCGUUUUGUGGGGCUGUUUCUCGGAAGAGUUGAUGGUGGAGAGUAUAAAGAUGCCUCCCUGUUGGGAACUUUAGGUGGGAUCUCAGACAUAUUUCCCAUUGGAUCCAGCAUUAAAGUCUGGUGAGCCACUUGAAUAUCUCCCAUAAUUGCUUUGGGAUUACUAGUAGUUUCAUUUAAGUGUUUCAGAAAAUCAUUCAGGGUGUUCCUGGAAUCAACAGACCUCCUGUGGUCUCUUUUGCUGGAUGGUUUUGUAAGUGGGUGAUCAAUAUGUUGCAUCUUUUUGUCUGCCUUGUGCGCAUUAGAAUUUGAGAAAGAUGUAUUGUAAUCAUGAGUAGCAUUGGGAAGAACGAUAGCACUGGGUAUAUGUCCAUGGCUCAGAGGAGAGUGGGGCGGAGGACUGGAAGGAAAAAACUGAGGGCUCUUUAGCGGGGUUUCCUUUCGCGAAGCAUUGAGGUUACCGUGUGCUUUGUCCGACUGACUUUCAUGGCUUGCAGAGUCUUUUGCUGAAGAACCGGUGUGGAUUCAGGAGUCGGAAGUGCAGCUAAUUCCGGAGGCUGGCCUCUGUGGUCCAUCAUCAUGGACUUCAUAUCGCCAUUUGGUGGCAGUUCCUUUCUGCUAGUCAACAGGUUGGUGUAGAGUUUGGGCGAAUCGAUGUUUUGUUGAUAUUCCUUGACGGGACUAUCAAAAAGCCCAUUCAGUUUAGCAAAGCUCCCACUGGAGUCUGUACAGGACUGAGCAGAUUCUGCAUCCUUGUGUAUUUUCCUGGAUUUCCGUACAAACACAUCUCGAUAACAGUACACAGCCACUCCCGCAAUAAAGGCUCCCAGGACAAAAGCAGCAAAGACACAAGUGAUUAGGACAUUCAUGUGUACCAUUUGGUUGGACUCUCCUGAUUGCACUUCCCACCUUACACCUGCAAAAGACAUGCAGCGUAUCAUAAAUUUACACAUACUUAAAACUGAUCUAUAUUUCAGAAGCAGUUAGCCUGCCUUGGAGAAGGACAGCAGCGUCCUUAAGUUUUUAAGUGCUCUGUGCCCACUGUUACGGUAUCUCUGCAGUCCACAGCACUGUUGCGUGCUAAUAAUUUUAUAAAUAAAAAGGACCGAAUUAGCAUUGAGCAGCUCUAUUUAGACUGUCUACUUUCUUUGGACAAGCCCAGAUGCUUGUCAGAGCUUCACUCCUCAUACUACGUUCGGUUGUACGCUGUAUGCUAUCUGUUUAGCCUGUCCCCAGUUUUCCUUUAAGGCUUACAAACAGGGGGCCUGAAUGCUAUUAACGUUAAUUGAUUUCUGCUGGAAAAUUGAGGUUAGAAGGUGCUACUGGGCCAGACAGCAAUUAAUAACUCAUAGAUGGAUUUCUCUCUCAAUUUUCUGCCCAACUCGUAAAUCAGUAUCAAAAGAGAGACGGGAUUAUGCAAAUGUUACGUAGAACUGUAUAACUUACGUACUGCAUUGUUAAACCACAUCAAUAUAUGGUGCAAAACUUGUAAACUAAUCCAUCUGCAGCUCUCUAGCCUUGGAAUGGCACAGUUUGAUCAGGUAAGCAUACAAUUUUUAAGUUAAAGAUUACAGCAUUCUAUUAAAGCACAAGUUUUCCUUUCUAC
rnacentral:lncRNA from 1 species